GGCUUGUAGCUCAGUGGUAGAGCGCUAGCCUAGCAUGUGUGGCACUGGGUUCAAUCCUCAGUGCCA
rnacentral:tRNA from 1 species